rnacentral:rRNA from 1 species
UACGUAGGUGGCAAGCGUUGUCCGGAAUUAUUGGGCGUAAAGCGCGCGCAGGCGGUUUCUUAAGUCUGAUGUGAAUGCCCCCGGCUUAACCGGGGAGGGUCAUUGGAAACUGGGACUUGAGUGCAGAAGAGGAAAGUGGAAUUCCAAGUGUAGCGGUGAAAUGCGUAGAGAUUUGGAGGAACACCAGUGGCGAAGGCGACUUUCUGGUCUGUAACUGACGCUGAGGCGCGAAAGCGUGGGGAGCAAACAGG